rnacentral:rRNA from 1 species
CCUACGGGAGGCAGCAGUGGGGAAUUUUGGACAAUGGGCGCAAGCCUGAUCCAGCAAUGCCGCGUGAGUGAAGAAGGCCUUCGGGUUGUAAAGCUCUUUUGUCAGGGAAGAAACGGUCUUGGUUAAUACCUGGGGCUAAUGACGGUACCUGAAGAAUAAGCACCGGCUAACUACGUGCCAGCAGCCGCGGUAAUACGUAGGGUGCAAGCGUUAAUCGGAAUUACUGGGCGUAAAGCGUGCGCAGGCGGUUGUGUAAGACAGGUGUGAAAUCCCCGGGCUUAACCUGGGAAUGGCAUUUGUGACUGCACGGCUAGAGUGUGUCAGAGGGGGGUAGAAUUCCACGUGUAGCAGUGAAAUGCGUAGAGAUGUGGAGGAAUACCGAUGGCGAAGGCAGCCCCCUGGGAUAACACUGACGCUCAUGCACGAAAGCGUGGGGAGCAAACAGGAUUAGAUACCCUGGUAGUCCACGCCCUAAACGAUGUCUACUAGUUGUCGGGUCUUAAUUGACUUGGUAACGCAGCUAACGCGUGAAGUAGACCGCCUGGGGGAGGUACGGUCGUCGAGAAGUUAAACUUACUAAAGUUAAGUUAGUAGCGNGNGAGAGCGACGACGACGACGACGGAGGAGGAGG